rnacentral:rRNA from 1 species
UUCCGGUUGAUCCUGCCAGAGGUCACUGCUAUCGGUGUCCGAUUAAGCCAUGCGAGUCGAGAGGUGUAAGACCUCGGCAGACUGCUCAGUAACACGUGGAUAACCUGCCCAAGGGUCCGGGAUAACCCCGGGAAGCUGGGGAUAAUACCGGAUGGGUCACCAGUGCUGGAAUGCUUGGUGGUCGAAAGGUGACGCCUUUGGAUGGGUCUGCGGCGGAUUAGGUUGACGCCGGUGUAACGUACCGGCGUGCCUGUAAUCCGUACGGGUUGUGGGAGCAAGAGCCCGGAGAUGGAUUCUGAGACACGAAUCCAGGCCCUACGGGGCACAGCAGGCGCGAAAACUCUACAAUGCAGGCAACUGCGAUAGGGGGACAUCGAGUGGCAUCCACCUUGGGUGUCUGUCCAACCGUCUAAAAAACGGUUGUUAGCAAGGGCCGGGCAAGACCGGUGCCAGCCGCCGCGGUAAUACCGGCGGCUCGAGUGGUGGCCGAUAUUAUUGAGUCUAAAGGGUCCGUAGCCGGCUUUGCAAGUCCCCUGGGAAAUCCGGCGGCUUAACCGUUGGGCUUUCAUGGGAUACUACAUUGCUUGGGACUGGGAGAGGUAGGAGGUACUCGGGGGGUAGGGGUGAAAUCCUGUAAUCCUCCGGGGACCACCGGUGGCGAAGGCGUCCUGCCAGAGCAGGUCCGACGGUGAGGGACGAAAGCUAGGGGCACGAACCGGAUUAGAUACCCGGGUAGUCCUAGCCGUAAACGAUGCCCGCUAGGUGUCACGACGGUCGUGAAUCGUCGUGGUGCCGUAGGGAAGCCGCGAAGCGGGCCACUUGGGAAGUACGGCCGCAAGGCUGAAACUUAAAGGAAUUGGCGGG